UCUUCUUCUCAACCUAAAAACAAGAAGUUAUACACCAAGGACCUGUCUGGUUACAACCUGUUCUGCAGGGAUCAGUUAAAGAACAAGGACCCCGGGAGGAAAAUUAGGACACCAACUGUGGAAGACAUUUUGAAUGCAAUGUGUGCAAAUGAUGAGCGGAGCGUAACAGAGCCUAUGGGUUUGACGGAAGUGCUGUCAAGAGAACCGACUACAGAUGAUACUACGGAUGUUUGCAACAUCUGCCACUGUCUGUUCAGUGAUGAGAAAAAAAAUGCCAAGAAGAAGUGGCGUGAGUGGCGACGUUGCAACACAUGUGAGCAGUGGUCACACCUGGCAUGUGGAUUCAAGAAAAACUUGGCGUCAUUGUCAGACUCCCAGAAGUUGAGCCUUGUUAUGUCUUUUAGAGCGAAGGUGAAACAUUAACAUGUUUAACGUUGAAAAAUUGUCUUAUAGUACUACUUGGUUCUUUGCUGGAAUAAUGAC